UUAAUACCCCGCGCCGGCUCGCCGCGCCGGGAUUCUCGUGCCGGUUGUCCGGGAAGGAGGCGCUAGGUCAGCUCUGAGGCCGCAGAUAGCUUUACUCCCAACGCUGCGUCCAUCCGGAGUGGAGCAUACCUCCCCGCGUACUCUUGGAGAGCGAGCGGGGCUGCGACCCUGAGAUCCAGCGCUGUCGUGCGUUCCCCAGGCCGCCGGGACCUUGCCACAGGCACUGGGGCGGCAGGUGAGCGAAGGCGGCUGCGCAGGAGAGCGAGAGAGCUCAGGUAGAUAACUUGGAGGACCAGGAAGCUGAAGCAGCAACGAUGAGGGUGUCUGCGUCUGAAGCCAUGAUUUAACUGUUAAGAUUUCAACAAAAAGAACUUAGGAUUCCUGGGAUUCCCACAUCAAAGAAAAGCUGCAAGCUUUCAGAAAGAGUUUUCCUUGGAUGAUAAAGAAGAACCUGCCAACCACCGGAGAGGCCUUGAUGCCAAGUGCUUAGCUGCACUCCCUAAAGUUGCAGAAUUAAGAAAAAUCUUCGAACCAAAGAGAAAAGACUUUUUAGAAAUGAAAAGAAAAGAAAGAAUUGCUAGGCGCUUAGAAGGAAUAGAAAAUGACCCCCAGCCUAUCCUGCUGCAGAGCUGCACAGGGCUAGUGACUCACCGGCUGCUGGAAGAGGACACGCCCAG
rnacentral:lncRNA from 1 species